rnacentral:lncRNA from 1 species
UCUCCAUCCCCUUCCCAACCGCCGCUCCAAUCGUCCCUUGCCAAAGCCACCGCCCUUCUCCUUCCUUUUCUCCGGCCGCCGCCUAUCUCCUUACCAUCCGCACAUCCUGCUUCUCCUCCACCUGGAGUCGCCUGCCGUCUCAUCCCUCUCUCCUCUCCCCCCAGGAGCCGCCUCCCGUCUCGUCCCUCUGUACGACGAGCCGCCUCCCAUCGUAAUUGAAGGCUAUUUUUUUUGCUUCUCUUUCUGUACACAGCAUGACAACAGCAAUGGCUUGGCUUUUUUUAUUUUUUAUUUUUUUUUGUAAAAAUUGGCCAUGAGGAUGGAAUGGCUUUUGAUAUUGAACAUAAUCAUCAAGAUACAUGCACACGUUGUGAAAAUUUCGUUUGAUACAUGUACAACAAAGUAAAAGCUUCAUAAUCAUAUAAAUAUACAAUUUCAAUUUUUUCCCAUCGAAACUGGAAUUGGAACUGGUGUCACACUUGGAUUCUACAAGCCGAUUCAAUGUGCAUCCAUAUAAGAAAAACAGAAUUUAGGUCCAAUUAUGUUUUCUAGGAAUAUUGGUAUUCAUCUCAAUUCAACAUCUACAUCCAAACGAAGCUUAAGAGAUUGGUCAAUACUUGACCCAUAUAAGACGCCUAGCCCAGCGGACAUAAAAACUCAGAAGUCACAAACAAAGAGUACGCACACACAAAGUAGACCUGUGAUUUCGGCAUUUUGGCAGGCACAUAUUCUUGAGUCUAGACGCUACAUAGAGACAGGCCUACCAGCCGACGGAUCGCCAAGAGGCCUGUAAAGUCCAUAAGAUCGUAUACAAAUUUUUUUUUAAAUGAAACCACCCGCAUUAGAUCACAUUUUAACUCUUAAUUUGGUGGUGCUGCAGUUAUUUUAUUUUUUGUAUUCCUAUUUUAUUUUCCGUAGCAACGCACGGGCUUUUGACUAGUUAUUUAAUACGUUGAAGCGUUCCCUUAGCUGCUCUCCAUGGUGUCUUGUGUCCUGGACCUGGUGUUUGUUUUGGGGGAACUUUCUGCUUGGGCUUUCUAAGGGUGAAUCGUGCAUCACCGUGAGGAGACUCCCAAUUCAUCUAAUACUUAGUUAGCUCAGGUUGACGGAUGAAAGAACUGAUUGCAUUGGUGACUGCCAUCUCCUCCACUUGCAGUAGGCUAAUUCCAUCCAUAUAUUCCUCAUGUUCACCAAUUAACUCCAACACAUGCGUAUCUCUUUUCAUCUUGCGAAAAUAAUGGGGACGAAAUUGAGCAGACACAUCUAGAAGCGGCCAAUCAUUCACAGCAUUUCUGUCAGCUUCAUAAGGUGAGCUUUGGCGGUUGUGCUGGUCCACGACCACAAAAGAUAUACACCAUUGGAAUCUCAUUGCAAUAACUUGUUCUGGAAAUCUGCAUGAUAAUUCUCAUGGGAUCACAUGGUUUGCACAAGCCUUUUACCAAUUCGAGUAUCCAAAAGAGAUGGGUUCGAUUUGCUAGCAUUAUCACAUACUCCACUUUCUCACCUCGGAGAAGUUGCGGGAUGAGAGGGCAGAAAAACCUGUAGCGCGCAAGUGUACAACAAGAAUCCACUUUGCUCAUGAACUUAUCAGACUCGUUAGCGCGCCGCUCAAAUCUUCGAACAACAGAGCAACUCAGCUUGUCUUCGUUCAUGCCAUCUCCUCCACUUGCAGUAGGCUAAUUCCAUCCAUAUAUUCCUCAUGUUCACCAAUUAACUCCAUCGCAUGCGUAUCUCUUUUCAUCUUGCGAAAAUAAUGGGGGCGAAAUUGAGCAGACACAUCUAGAAGCGGCCAAUCAUUCGCAGCAUUUCUGUCAGCUUCAUAAGGUGAGCUUUGGCGGUUGUGCUGGUCCACGACCACAAAAGAUAUACACCAUUGGAAUCUCAUUGCAAUAACUUGUUCUGGAAAUCUGCAUGAUAAUUCUCAUGGGAUCACAUGGUUUGCACAAGCCUUUUACCAAUUCGAGUAUCCAAAAGUGAUG